rnacentral:rRNA from 1 species
UACGUAGGGUGCAAGCGUUAAUCGGAAUUACUGGGCGUAAAGCGUGCGCAGGCGGUUUUGUAAGUCUGUCGUGAAAUCCCCGGGCUCAACCUGGGAAUUGCGAUGGAGACUGCAAGGCUAGAAUCUGGCAGAGGGGGGUAGAAUUCCACGUGUAGCAGUGAAAUGCGUAGAGAUGUGGAGGAACACCGAUGGCGAAGGCAGCCCCUGGGUCAAGAUUGACGCUCAUGCACGAAAGCGUGGGGAGCAAACAGG